rnacentral:rRNA from 1 species
UACGUAGGCGGCCCAGUAAGUUAGAAGUGAAAUAAUAUAGCUCAACUAUAUAAAGCUUUUAAAACUGCUAGGCUUGAGAGAUGGAAGGGAAAGUGGAAUUCCUAGUGUAGCGGUGAAAUGCGCAGAUAUUAGGAAGAAUACCGGUGGCGAAGGCGACUUUCUGGUCAUCAUCUGACGCUGAGGUACGAAAGCGUGGGUAGCAAACA